rnacentral:rRNA from 1 species
GCGGCGUGCCUAAUACAUGCAAGUCGAGCGAACAGACAAGGAGCUUGCUCCUUUGACGUUAGCGGCGGACGGGUGAGUAACACGUGGGUAACCUACCUAUAAGACUGGGAUAACUUCGGGAAACCGGAGCUAAUACCGGAUAAUAUUUCGAACCGCAUGGUUCGAUAGUGAAAGAUGGUUUUGCUAUCACUUAUAGAUGGACCCGCGCCGUAUUAGCUAGUUGGUAAGGUAACGGCUUACCAAGGCGACGAUACGUAGCCGACCUGAGAGGGUGAUCGGCCACACUGGAACUGAGACACGGUCCAGACUCCUACGGGAGGCAGCAGUAGGGAAUCUUCCGCAAUGGGCGAAAGCCUGACGGAGCAACGCCGCGUGAGUGAUGAAGGUCUUCGGAUCGUAAAACUCUGUUAUUAGGGAAGAACAUACGUGUAAGUAACUAUGCACGUCUUGACGGUACCUAAUCAGAAAGCCACGGCUAACUACGUGCCAGCAGCCGCGGUAAUACGUAGGUGGCAAGCGUUAUCCGGAAUUAUUGGGCGUAAAGCGCGCGUAGGCGGUUUUUUAAGUCUGAUGUGAAAGCCCACGGCUCAACCGUGGAGGGUCAUUGGAAACUGGAAAACUUGAGUGCAGAAGAGGAAAGUGGAAUUCCAUGUGUAGCGGUGAAAUGCGCAGAGAUAUGGAGGAACACCAGUGGCGAAGGCGACUUUCUGGUCUGUAACUGACGCUGAUGUGCGAAAGCGUGGGGAUCAAACAGGAUUAGAUACCCUGGUAGUCCACGCCGUAAACGAUGAGUGCUAAGUGUUAGGGGGUUUCCGCCCCUUAGUGCUGCAGCUAACGCAUUAAGCACUCCGCCUGGGGAGUACGACCGCAAGGUUGAAACUCAAAGGAAUUGACGGGGACCCGCACAAGCGGUGGAGCAUGUGGUUUAAUUCGAAGCAACGCGAAGAACCUUACCAAAUCUUGACAUCCUUUGACAACUCUAGAGAUAGAGCCUUCCCCUUCGGGGGACAAAGUGACAGGUGGUGCAUGGUUGUCGUCAGCUCGUGUCGUGAGAUGUUGGGUUAAGUCCCGCAACGAGCGCAACCCUUAAGCUUAGUUGCCAUCAUUAAGUUGGGCACUCUAAGUUGACUGCCGGUGACAAACCGGAGGAAGGUGGGGAUGACGUCAAAUCAUCAUGCCCCUUAUGAUUUGGGCUACACACGUGCUACAAUGGACAAUACAAAGGGCAGCGAAACCGCGAGGUCAAGCAAAUCCCAUAAAGUUGUUCUCAGUUCGGAUUGUAGUCUGCAACUCGACUACAUGAAGCUGGAAUCGCUAGUAAUCGUAGAUCAGCAUGCUACGGUGAAUACGUUCCCGGGUCUUGUACACACCGCCCGUCACACCACGAGAGUUUGUAACACCCGAAGCCGGUGGAGUAACCAUUUGGAGCUAGCCGUCGAAG